rnacentral:rRNA from 1 species
UACGUAGGGGGCGAGCGUUGUCCGGAUUUACUGGGCGUAAAGCGCGUGUAGGCGGUCCCUUAAGUCCGAGGUGAAAGGCGGAGGCUCAACCUCCGAGCUGCGUCGGAAACUGGGGGGUCUUGAAUGUCGGAGAGGGGCGUGGAAUUCCUGGUGUAGCGGUGAAAUGCGUAGAGAUCAGGAGGAACACCGGUGGCGAAGGCGGCGCUCU